CGUACGCAACAAGUAACCGCUCGAACACAGCGCAUUGAACAUCUCUCGAAAAGUGCCAUGCACACAUCUUUAGAAAAGUGACAUGCUUGCGGUUUAUUAAAAAACGAUACGAUGGACAAGUUUGUAACCAGAAACGCAAAGCAGAGUCAACAGGAGAUGAACCAUCGUGCAGAGAUGAAGAGAAGCAGCAAGCAGUGAAAAGAAAAUUUCGUCCAGAAAGGCUGCGUUUAUUUGACUGGCUGCAUGAAAAAGAUGGCUGUGCAUUUUGUGUAGCUUGUUCAAAAGCGGUAAUCAACCAUAGCAGCCACCUAAAGGCCCAUCAAAGAACAUCAAGCCAUAUCAAAUGUUAUGAGGCGCGCAAAAAACAAUUUACUCUGGAAAAAUUUUACGAUGCGGAACAACAAAAACAGCAGCAGCAAGUUAAAAAUGCAGAGUUAACAUUGGUCAUAUUCUGC